rnacentral:tRNA from 1 species
GCCCGCGUGGCGAAAUUGGUAGACGCUCCAGAUUUAGGUUCUGGCGCUGCCCUGAGCAGCUUGUGGGUUCGAAUCCCACCGCGGGCACCA